GGAAUCUUCCACAAUGGACGAAAGUCUGAUGGAGCAACGCCGCGUGAGUGAUGAAGGUUUUCGGAUCGUAAAACUCUGUUGUAAGGGAAGAACAAGUACGAGAGGUAAUGCUCGUACCUUGACGGUACCUUACGAGAAAGCCACGGCUAACUACGUGCCAGCAGCCGCGGUAAUACGUAGGUGGCAAGCGUUGUCCGGAAUUAUUGGGCGUAAAGCGCGCGCAGGCGGCCUUUUAAGUCUGAUGUGAAAGCCCCCGGCUCAACCGGGGAGGGUCAUUGGAAACUGGAAGGCUUGAGUACAGAAGAGAAGAGUGGAAUUCCAUGUGUAGCGGUGAAAUGCGUAGAGAUGUGGAGGAACACCAGUGGCGAAGGCGACUCUUUGGUCUGUAACUGACGCUGAGGCGCGAAAGCGUGGGGAGCAAACAGGAUUAGAUACCCCAG
rnacentral:rRNA from 1 species